rnacentral:rRNA from 1 species
CCUACGGGUGGCAGCAGCAAGGGAUCGUGCACAAUGGGCGAAAGCCUGAUGCCGCGACGCCGCGUGAGGGAUGACGGCUUUCGAGUUGUAAACCUCUUUUCUCAGGGAAGAGCGAGGACGUCACCUGAGGAAUAAGUCACGGCUAACUACGUGCCAGCAGCCGCGGUAAUACGUAGGUGGCAAGCGUUGUCCGGAAUUACUGGGCGUAAAGGGUCCGUAGGCGGUUUGGUAAGUCUUCUGUGAAAGCUCCAGGCUCAACUUGGAGUCGUCGGGGGAAACUGCUGAACUAGAGACUGUCAGAGGCAGGUGGAAUUCCCGGUGUAGUGGUGAAAUACGUAGAUAUCGGGAGGAACACCAGUGGCGAAAGCGGCCUGCUGGGGCAGUUCUGACGCUAAGGGACUAAAGCGUGGGGAGCGAACCGGAUUAGAUACCCGGG